AUACGUAGGGUGCGAGCGUUGUCCGGAAUUACUGGGCGUAAAGAGCUCGUAGGUGGUUUGUCGCGUCGUCUGUGAAAUUCCGGGGCUUAACUCCGGGCGUGCAGGCGAUACGGGCAUAACUUGAGUACUGUAGGGGAGACUGGAAUUCCUGGUGUAGCGGUGAAAUGCGCAGAUAUCAGGAGGAACACCGGUGGCGAAGGCGUGUCUCUGGGCAGUAACGGACGCUGAGGAGCGAAAGCAUGGGUAGCGAACAGGAUUAGAUACCCUGGUAGUCCAUGCCGUAAACGGUGGGCGCUAGGUGUAGGGGUCUUCCACGACUUCUGUGCCGUAGCUAACGCAUUAAGCGCCCCGCCUGGGGAGUACGGCCGCAAGGCUAAAACUCAAAGGAAUUGACGGGG
rnacentral:rRNA from 1 species